rnacentral:rRNA from 1 species
UGAACCGCAUGGUUCAAAAGUGAAAGACGGUCUUGCUGUCACUUAUAGAUGGAUCCGCGCUGCAUUAGCUAGUUGGUAAGGUAACGGCUUACCAAGGCAACGAUGCAUAGCCGACCUGAGAGGGUGAUCGGCCACACUGGAACUGAGACACGGUCCAGACUCCUACGGGAGGCAGCAGUAGGGAAUCUUCCGCAAUGGGCGAAAGCCUGACGGAGCAACGCCGCGUGAGUGAUGAAGGUCUUCGGAUCGUAAAACUCUGUUAUUAGGGAAGAACAUAUGUGUAAGUAACUGUGCACAUCUUGACGGUACCUAAUCAGAAAGCCACGGCUAACUACGUGCCAGCAGCCGCGGUAAUACGUAGGUGGCAAGCGUUAUCCGGAAUUAUUGGGCGUAAAGCGCGCGUAGGCGGUUUUUUAAGUCUGAUGUGAAAGCCCACGGCUCAACCGUGGAGGGUCAUUGGAAACUGGAAAACUUGAGUGCAGAAGAGGAAAGUGGAAUUCCAUGUGUAGCGGUGAAAUGCGCAGAGAUAUGGAGGAACACCAGUGGCGAAGGCGACUUUCUGGUCUGUAACUGACGCUGAUGUGCGAAAGCGUGGGGAUCAAACAGGAUUAGAUACCCUGGUAGUCCACGCCGUAAACGAUGAGUGCUAAGUGUUAGGGGGUUUCCGCCCCUUAGUGCUGCAGCUAACGCAUUAAGCACUCCGCCUGGGGAGUACGACCGCAAGGUUGAAACUCAAAGGAAUUGACGGGGACCCGCACAAGCGGUGGAGCAUGUGGUUUAAUUCGAAGCAACGCGAAGAACCUUACCAAAUCUUGACAUCCUUUGACAACUCUAGAGAUAGAGCCUUCCCCUUCGGGGGACAAAGUGACAGGUGGUGCAUGGUUGUCGUCAGCUCGUGUCGUGAGAUGUUGGGUUAAGUCCCGCAACGAGCGCAACCCUUAAGCUUAGUUGCCAUCAUUAAGUUGGGCACUCUAAGUUGACUGCCGGUGACAAACCGGAGGAAGGUGGGGAUGACGUCAAAUCAUCAUGCCCCUUAUGAUUUGGGCUACACACGUGCUACAAUGGACAAUACAAAGGGCAGCGAAACCGCGAGGUCAAGCAAAUCCCAUAAAGUUGUUCUCAGUUCGGAUUGUAGUCUGCAACUCGACUACAUGAAGCUGGAAUCGCUAGUAAUCGUAGAUCAGCAUGCUACGGUGAAUACGUUCCCGGGUCUUGUACACACCGCCCGUCACACCACGAGAGUUUGUAACACCCGAAGCCGGUGGAGUAACCUUUUAGGAGCUAGCCGUCGAAGGUGGGACAAAUGAUUGGGGUGAAGUCGUAACAAGGUAGCCGUAUCGGAAGGUGCGGCUGGAUCACCUCCUUU